GGGCCAGAGAGAGAGAGAGCGAGAGAGAGAGAGAGAGAGAGAGAGAGAGAGAGAGAGAGAGAGAGAGAGAGAGAGAGAGAGAGAGAGAGAGAGAGAGAGAGAGAGAGAGUUCAGUCAGAUCGAGGAAAAGACAAACACACACACUCUCUUGCUGCACGCGCUAACCACACAUACACUCCUAUAUCUAAGGGCAGAGCACCCAGACACUGUGGCACCAUGUUGCACCCCAUCAUGAUAGGCAUCGUGACCUUCAACACCUCCUUGACCAUCAUCUACUGGACCUUUCUCCUGGGAGGGACCUUCUUUGACAUGAUGUCUCAAGAAGAAGACAAGCCCAAGAAGCUUAGUGAGGUCACCCCCGCUUGAGCCUGCGCCGCCAUGGAACCCACUACCUACCUGUGAAUUUACUAUGACAACCACCGACAGCUUACUAGGCCUAUAGGCAGCUUGUGUCGCUUUACACAUUUUACGUUGUGUUUUUUGUUUUUCCAGAAUUCCAUUGGGAAUCCUGUUUUUUUUUCUUCUCUUUCUGCCGUUUUCCACUUGUUCCACAUCCGUAGAGAAUCGGGUCAUCUGGAUCAAUCUGGAAUCAUUCUAAAACAGAUUGGGUUCUUGGCCCAAAACCCUCUGAUGUGGAUGCUGAGGGCGGUAUGGAGGAAGAAGAGGAGGAGCGAGGGAUCCUAUAUGAUGGAAGGAUUAAGAAAGAGUGGAUGGAGGAGAACGAGGUUGGGUUGCUGCCGGGGUUCUACCACGAGGCAGGGAACUACCACCCACCGGCCCUGCCACUUCGCAGCAUUAUCACAGCUUUGCCAAGUGAGAGGAUUAUGUCCAAUCAGAAUGUGACCUUUCAGCGCCCUUUUGACCCCUCAUGUCACCUCCUUCGGAGUUCUGUAACCUCAUUUGUUAUGCCAAUACGAAAUCACCCCCUCAUCUCUAGCCCUAUGGAAAGUGUUUAUAUCUGAGAGAAUUUCAAGAUACAAGCCAUAUGGCUGAAAUUUAAUCUGGCCUAUGAGAAGUUGGGGAAAUCAUCUGCUUGUAACUAACCAAUACAUUAAGAUCGAGGCAGAAGAGUUCAAUCUGGAAUAGAGUUUUUUGGCCGAUAUGCCAGGUUCAGUAACGAAGUCCAUCCUUCAUUUUUACCCCAUAACAACUCCUCUGUUUGUUGCAAAUGACAUAGAGAUAGAUGCUUGAGCUCCAUAACCACCAAGGUACAACACAUGUAGCUUCUAUGAAAUAUAACUGUGAUACAUGUAUGAAUACAUGAGUAUGUUCUUGUAUUGAUGCUGAUAGAAAGGUGGGCCAUAUUUAUACUCAUUGACAUGAGAAAUGGGUAAAAAAAAUAUAGAGCUCUUGGAUGUGAUGUAUAGCAGCUAUAUUACUUAAUGUGUAGACACACACACACACACGCACACACACACGCACACAUGCGCACACACGCACACACGCACACACACACACGCACACACGCACACACACGCACACACACACACACACACUUAUAUACACACACACAGGUUCCAGGUUUAUGUGUUAGCAACAGUGAUUUCCCAUUACGUAAUAACUUGUGUUAUUGUAAUGUGUUUUUGAAAUAAACAUACUUUUACAUUCC